rnacentral:rRNA from 1 species
GACAGAGGGUGCGAGCGUUAAUCGGAAUUACUGGGCGUAAAGAGCACGUAGGUGGAUUUUUAAGUCAGAUGUGAAAGCCCCGGGCCUAACCUGGGAACUGCAUUUGAUACUGGAAGUCUAGAGUAUGGUAGAGGGAAGUGGAAUUUCCGGUGUAGCGGUGAAAUGCAUAGAUAUCGGAAGGAACACCAGUGGCGAAGGCGGCUUCCUGGACUAAUACUGACACUGAGGUGCGAAAGCGUGGGUAGCAAACAGG